AAUGUCAGACAUUGCUGGAUGGCUGCAGCAGCUGUACACACUCUACACUGCUUGUGUUUUCUUCCCAUCUUCCGAUCCCUCUACUGACCUCUCUGGCCACUUUUUGUCAUUACAGGUAAAAAUAUAUAUAUAUACAAUCAAUAAACUUUUACGCUGUGACACUUCGGGCCAAAGGUCUUGCUACGCUGUGAUUGAUAUUAGAUGCCAGUCCUCACUCCUCUCCUUACCAUCUGAGGCUUGCCAUGCGCCCCGAUUGCGGUGUCCUUUUAAGGGGUGUGCUGAGCCGUUGAAACUUCUCGGGUGGUAUGAUUUUUGCUUAUCUGUACCAGUUUAAUGUUUUUCAUCUGUAUGUUAUUAUUUUCAACACAU